UACGGGAGGCAGCAGUGGGGAAUAUUGCACAAUGGGCGCAAGCCUGAUGCAGCCAUGCCGCGUGUAUGAAAAAGGCCUUCGGGUUGUAAAGUACUUUCAGUCGUGAGGAAGGUGUUAAGGUUAAUAACCUUAGCAAUUGACGUUAGCGACAGAAGAAGCACCGGCUAACUCCGUGCCAGCAGCCGCGGUAAUACGGAGGGUGCGAGCGUUAAUCGGAAUUACUGGGCGUAAAGGGCACGCAGGCGGUUAAUUAAGUUGGAUGUGAAAUCCCCGGGCUUAACCUGGGAAUGGCAUUCAAGACUGGUUAGCUAGAGUCUUGUAGAGGGGGUUAGAAUUCCAUGUGUAGCGGUGAAAUGCGUAGAGAUGUGGAGGAAUACCGGUGGCGAAGGCGGCCCCUGGACAAAGACUGACGCUCAUGUGCGAAAGCGUGGGGAGCGAAACAGGGAUUAGAUACC
rnacentral:rRNA from 1 species